rnacentral:rRNA from 1 species
CAGUCGCCGCGGUAAUACGUAGGUGGCAAGCGUUGUCCGGAAUUAUUGGGCAUAAAGGGCUCGCAGGCGGCUUCUUAAGUCUGAUGUGAAAGCCCCCGGCUCAACCGGGGAGGGUCAUUGGAAACUGGGAAACUUGAGUGCAGAAGAGGAGAGUGGAAUUCCACGUGUAGCGGUGAAAUGCGUAGAGAUGUGGAGGAACACCAGUGGCGAAGGCGACUCUCUGGUCUGUAACUGACGCUGAGGAGCGAAAGCGUGGGGAGCGAACAGGAUUAGAUACCCCUGUAGUCCCUGUCUCUUAUAC